rnacentral:rRNA from 1 species
AUUGAACGCUGGCGGCGUGCUUAACACAUGCAAGUCGUGCGGUAACAGGCGUAGCAAUACGUGCUGACGAGCGGCGAACGGGUGCGUAAUACAUGGGAAUCUGCCCUUUAGUGGGGAAUAACCCGGCGAAGGCCGGGCUAAUGCCGCAUAAGAUCUUCGGAUGAAAGCGGGGGAUCGUAAGACCUCGCGCUGAUGGAUGAGCCCAUGUCGGAUUAGCAGUUGGUGAGGUAACGGCUCACCAAGGCGACGAUCCGUAGCUGGUCUGAGAGGACGGCC